rnacentral:rRNA from 1 species
AAGUAGCUGGAGGAAAGGACAUCAACCGAGACUCCGUUAGUAGUGACGAGCGAAAGCGGACCAGGCCAAUGACUAUUUUAGAAAAAACCAGAAUAAUAUGGAAAUGUUAGCCAAAGAGGGUGAUAGCCCCGUAUGGGUAAGUUUCUUUUAUAGUUUUCGAGUAGGGCGGGACACGUGAAAUCCUGCUUGAAUAUGGGGGGACCACCCUCCAAGCCUAAGUACUACUCUGUGACCGAUAGUGAACAAGUACCGUGAGGGAAAGGUGAAAAGAACCCCGAUGAGGGGAGUGAAACAGACCUGAAACUGAAUGCUUACAAGCAGUUGGAGCAACUUUAAGUUGUGACAGCGUACCUUUUGUAUAAUGGGUCAGCGAGUUAAUUUAUUGUGCAAGCUUAAGCCGUUAGGUGUAGGCGAAGCGAAAGCGAGUCUGAAUAGGGCGUUUUAGUUCAAUGGAUUAGACCCGAAACCGGGUGAUCUAGCUAUGAGCAGGUUGAAGGUAAGGUAACACUUACUGGAGGACCGAACCCACGCAUGUUGAAAAAUGCGGGGAUGACUUGUUGCUAGGGGUGAAAGGCCAAUCAAACCCGGAGAUAGCUGGUUCUCCGCGAAAACUAUUUAGGUAGUGCGUUAUGUAUUACUAUCGGGGGUAGAGCACUAGAUGGGCUAGGGGGGCGCGAGCCUUACCAAACCUAACUAAACUCCGAAUACCGAUAAGUACAGCAUAGCAGACAGUCCAUGGGUGCUAAGGUCCUUGGACGAGAGGGAAAGAGCCCAGACCACCAGCUAAGGUCCCUAAAUUGUGGCUAAGUGGGAAAGGAUGUGGAAAGACCAAGACAGCCAGGAGGUUGGCUUAGAAGCAGCCAUCCUUUAAAGAAAGCGUAACAGCUCACUGGUCUAAAUAAGCCGGUCUGCGCCGAAGAUGUAACGGGGCUAAAGCCAUAUACCGAAGCUGUGGAUGCCGUAAGGCAUGGUAGCGGAGCGUUCUGUAAGCCGUUGAAGGCAAUGUGUGAAUAUUGUUGGAGGUAUCAGAAGUGAGAAUGCUGACAUGAGUAGCGAUAAAGAGUGUGAGAAACACUCUCGCCGAAAGCCUAAGGGUUCCUGCGCAAGGUUAAUCCGCGCAGGGUUAGUCGGCCCCUAAGAUGAGGGCGAAAGCCGUAGUCGAUGGGAAUACGGUAAAUAUUCCGUAACCUGAUGGAAGUGACGAAUGAUGAAGAUUGUAAAAGCUUAUUGGAUUGUUUUUGCAGUUAAUUUGUUCCAGGAAAUAGCUCCAUCAACAAGACCGUACCCGAAACCGACACAGGUAGGCAGGUAGAGAAUACCAAGGCGCUUGAGAGAAUGGUGUUGAAGGAACUCGGCAAAAUGCCCCCGUAACUUUGGGAGAAGGGGGACCUAUGCUGGGCAACCAGUGCUAGGUGGCACAAACCAGGGGGUAGCGACUGUUUAUUAAAAACACAGGACUCUGCAAAGUGGUAACACGACGUAUAGGGUCUGACGCCUGCCCGGUGCCGGAAGGUUAAGAGGAGGUGUGCAAGCACCGAAUUGAAGCCCCGGUAAACGGCGGCCGUAACUAUAACGGUCCUAAGGUAGCGAAAUUCCUUGUCGGGUAAGUUCCGACCUGCACGAAUGGCGUAACGACUUCCCCGCUGUCUCCAACACCAACUC